rnacentral:rRNA from 1 species
AUUGAACGCUGGCGGCAUGCCUUACACGUGCAAGUCGAACGGCAGCACGGGGCAACCUGGUGGCGAGUGGCGAACGGGUGAGUAAUGCAUCGGAACGUGCCAUUGAGAGGGGGAUAACGUAGCGAAAGUUGCGCUAAUACCGCAUAUUCUGUGAGCAGGAAAGCAGGGGACCGCAAGGCCUUGCGCUCUUUGAGCGGCCGAUGUCAGAUUAGCUAGUUGGUGAGGUAACGGCUUACCAAGGCGACGAUCUGUAGCGGGUCUGAGAGGAUGAUCCGCCACACUGGAACUGAGACACGGUCCAGACUCCUACGGGAGGCAGCAGUGGGGAAUUUUGGACAAUGGGCGCAAGCCUGAUCCAGCCAUGCCGCGUGAGUGAAGAAGGCC